CACGAACGCUGGCGGCAGGCUUAACACAUGCAAGUCGAGCGCCCCGCAAGGGGAGCGGCAGACGGGUGAGUAACGCGUGGGAAGCUACCCAUCUCUACGGAAUAACGCAUGGAAACGUGUGCUAAUACCGUAUACGUCCUUCGGGAGAAAGAUUUAUGGGAGAUGGAUGAGCCCGCGUUGGAUUAGCUAGUUGGUGGGGUAAAGGCCUACCAAGGCGACGAUCCAUAGCUGGUCUGAGAGGAUGAUCAGCCACACUGGGACUGAGACACGGCCCAGACUCCUACGGGAGGCAGCAGUGGGGAAUAUUGGACAAUGGGCGCAAGCCUGAUCCAGCCAUGCCGCGUGAGUGAUGAAGGCCCUAGGGUUGUAAAGCUCUUUCACCGGUGAAGAUAAUGACGGUAACCGGAGAAGAAGCCCCGGCUAACUUCGUGCCAGCCGCCGCCGUAAUAC
rnacentral:rRNA from 1 species